UACGGGGGGGGCAAGCGUUGUUCGGAAUUACUGGGCGUAAAGGGCUCGUAGGCGGCCAACUAAGUCAGACGUGAAAUCCCCCGGCUUAACCAGGGAACUGCGUCUGAUACUGGAUGGCUUGAGUUUGGGAGAGGGAUGCGGAAUUCCAGGUGUAGCGGUGAAAUGCGCAGAUAUCAGGAGGAACACCGGUGGCGAAGGCGGUUCUCUGGGCAUUACCUGACGCUGAG
rnacentral:rRNA from 1 species